CUUGUUUUGGUAUCAGAGUGACACUUGUUUCUAAGAAUGAAAUAGGGAGGACUGCUUCUCUUUCAAUUUCAUUGAAGAGUUUAAGGAGUAUUGGAGUCAGAUCUUCUCUGAAUUUCUUAUGGAAUUCAGCUCUGAAUCCAGCAGGAUCUGGCCUUUAUUUGUUGGUGCAGGGGAAGAAAGCCAGACCUGAAGGUGAAGAUGCAGUGACAAUGUCUACAUGCUCCUGAAAAGAAAAACAACAGCUUGAAAUGUACUACAGUUACCACCACCUCCUCCAGGAAGUCCUGAUAGGCAUCAAUUACCAUACUCAAUUACCAGAACAAUUGGACUAUUGUUCCCACAAAAUGCCUUGGCUCUUUCCACAUAUCUUUUCUGGCUGACUUGUUCCCCUGAUGAAUAAUAUUAGUUAAGCACCUAUAAUCUUAUAGAUUGAUUGUAGUUUGAGACCUACAGUUUGCCCACAUUGUGACUAUCCUGUAUAAAUGACCCCUGACAAUAUGACUGUGUUCAAAAUACUGAAGACCACUCCUGAAAAUUCAGAGCUAUUCUCUCUUUUUUUCUAAGACAAUUUUUGAAAUUCUUUUGGUUUGUGACUUCAUUUCUCAAUGUUGUGAGCCAUUAAACGGUGCAUUUGAUAUCAA